rnacentral:lncRNA from 1 species
GUACAUGUUAAUGGGGCAGGACGCAUUAAUGCAUGACACAUGCACGUAGCCUCGUCGGCAACCCCGGCAUGCAACACGAACACGUGUUGCCUUUUACAUAGAACAACAUUUAUUUAACUUGUACCAUCUCAAAUGAACUUAUGCCGAUCUUAAAACAUGGCGAGCCAUUUAAUAUAUUUUAUUCGUAAAAACUACUUCCUCUGUAAAUUAAUAUAAAAGUAUUCAGAUAACUAAAAUAGGGAUCUAAACGCUUUUAUAUUAGUUUAGGAAGGGAAUAAUUUACAAGGAAGCAAUACCAGAAAGUACAGACGAAGAACUUGGUAUGAAAGCAACAGGGGUCGCAUCAUUGCGAGGAAAACCAUAGCCACAUGAAGCAGAAGAAUCAACUACAAUAAGAUGAAAAACAAAUAGGUAAUAAAGAAAUAAACCGAAAGACUGAAACAACUCAAUAUUAGAAUAGAUGUACUUACCAACAACAGAAUCAACAUGCCGCUUUCCUAGACGGAUCUCUUGACGUCGACGACGUAAAUCAACAGCAGAGGAACUCUGACCUCGAACCUUUAUACGAAACAACCAUACAAAUACUUACUUAGGCGGUGAACACGCAACAACGCAAAGACAGAUCAAAUAUACUGAACCAACCAGUAGAUGUGUGAAGCCAAUGGAACGAUGAAUAUUAGGACGCCCCCCAUGCAGUAAAUCAACAUCGUACAGACGACCACCACUGACAGCUUCCGACAUGGAAGCUCCAUGGCCUCGCAGAUGAUUACGUCCAAUAACCGCCCCACGAAUCCCACAAGGACGACCCGGACGACGGAGCCACAGAUCAUUACGCCCAAUAACAGUUCCACGUAUACCAGGAGGACGCCCUGGACGAUGAAAG